AUUUCAGGUAAUUCAAAAAGAGUCCAGAUCCCGCCAGAAAGAGUGAUAAAAAUUCCAAGAACAUCAAAAAUUCUGUAGUUCGAUAAAUUUCGCGAUGCACCUCUGGUUGAGUAAAACGUAGAAUAGUAUAUGUAAAUUCAAACAAAAGCGAAAUUACAGCGCUCAGGAAUAGAAAAAGUAAUGCAAGGACAAUGCAUAGUGGCUUGCACAUUUCGAUGUUCUGGUUCCCUUUCAAAAUUCCAACUAAUAGAAGGAGGUUUUCCUCUGUUUGAGUAAAAAAAAAACAAUAAAUAACGCAAGCUUGAAGUAAUUAUGCAUUUAAGGAAAAAGUCAGAAGUUUGCAACAUAGUGAAGUGGAAUGGAAAGAAGACUUUCAAGAACGUUUUAUGCUGGUAACAAAACAGACGGACGGACAUACGGACAGACACACAGAAGUAUAGCUAGAAGAGUGUCUCGGCUAUCAGAUACCCGUUAUUUAGCUAAUCGAUGUGCAUGGAAGAUGAACAUAGUUUCUAUAUAGUUUUUGAGUUUUGUACACCAGCUUUGCAAUGUCAAUAAAA